CGCAUCUGUGCAUGCAGCAUAUCAAUAAGCGGAGGAAAAGAAACUAACAAGGAUUCCCUUAGUAACGGCGAGUGAAGCGGGAAGAGCUCAAAUUUGAAAUCUUCAAGGUUUUACCUUGACGAAUUGUAGUUUAAAGAGGUGUUUUCUGUUGAAGUUUUGGUAAAAGUUCUUUGGAAUAGGACAUCAUAGAGGGUGAGAAUCCCGUAUUUGACCAUUAUUUUCAGCUGUGUGAUACACUUUCAAAGAGUCGGAUUGUUUGGGAAUGCAGUCCAAAAUGGGUGGUAAAUUUCAUCUAAAGCUAAAUAUUGGCGAGAGACCGAUAGCGAACAAGUACCGUGAGGGAAAGAUGAAAAGAACUUUGAAAAGAGAGUUAAACAGUACGUGAAAUUGUCAAAAGGGAAGCGUUUGACACCAGUGUUGUUUUCUCGAAAAUCAAUUAAAAAGAGUUUGAUUUUGUUGUGUAUUGACCUUAACAGCUUGCAUUUCAAUUUUCUUGCUUUUUUUAAUGCACUUUUCGUUUAACAAGUCAACAUCAGUUUCUUUUGUUGUAAAAAGGUCAUUGGAAGGUGGCUUUCUUUUCGGAGAAAGUGUUUAUAGCCUUUGACUCCUGCAAUCGGAGAGACUGAGGUCUGCAGCGUAGAUCCUUCGGGGUUAGAUACAUUUGUGCUAAGUUAUAGCUUUUUAUAGACAACUUGUUGACUAUGAUUAGUCUUGUAGCUUACUCGCUUAUGCUAUUUUACCUACGCUUAGGAUGUUGACGCGCGUGUGUGCGUG
rnacentral:rRNA from 1 species